UCUACCAUGCCGGCCGCCGGUUUCCACCCAGGAAUUAAUAGGGAAUCCGUGGCUCGCCAACGGCUGAGCUAAACGGAACUGCCCCCGCAACUGUAGGUGCCGAGCCUGCUCCAUCGAUGCCACUGGGCCUGCGCCCGGGAAGGCUGGAGCCGGGCGAAGACGCAUCAGUCAGGAGACCUGCCGGCACACAUUCACCGAC
rnacentral:ncRNA from 1 species